AUAUUGCCGAUGUCUGCGUUAGGGAUAGCAGUGGAAAUCCUUUUGUGGAGUUUACGAAGCAAAAGAUUGCAACGGAUAGCCCGGCCGCGC
rnacentral:sRNA from 1 species